GGCAGUCUGGUGUAAUGGUAACACAGCGUUCUGAGACGAACGAAGUUCAGGAGUUCGAUUCCCUGGUCAGCCU